CUAAAUAUCUAAACGGAGAGAUUCAAUAUUGCCCUUAAAAGCAAUGUGCACUUCUCUCUUAGUAAGACGCUGUGAUCCAUUAGAAAUUGGAUUGUAUCAACAAUCGUUUGGCUAUCGAUAGGCCGAUGUGAAGUUCAUUGAUACAAAUAACUUGAUCUUUUACGGUUAGGUAUAUUGUUUAGUGAGCACAUUGUAACCUGAUAAUAGCUGUCUGAUGGAUUUUAAAGGUCAUAUUAUUAAUGUUUUAUACAUUACUCAUACGUGAGAUUUUUGAUAUGUACCCGAUCAACAGCGGUUAAAUUUAGCAUACCUUCUGGACCCGUCUUGAAACACGGACCAAGGAGUCUAUCUAGUAUGCAAGUAAAUGAGUAUAUAAAACUUAUUUGCAUAAAAAACUUGACUGUUUAAUGGGACUACGAAUGAAUAAUUCUUCCAUCCCGGGGUAUUUUUAUCAACAUAUACAGCAAUGUAUAUGGAAAAUAUACCAUGAGCAUACUGGAUAUGACCCGAAAGAUGGUGAACUAUGCCUGAUCAGGUUGAAGUCAGGGGAAACCCUGAUGGAGGACCGAAGCAAUUCUGACGUGCAAAUCG
rnacentral:rRNA from 1 species